CCUCCUGCCGAGGGGACAGGAAGCCAAAUACAUGGUGUGUGCACUUCUUAACAUAAGCUGCUUCUAUCACAUGAGGAGACAUGAACUUCUGGCUUGUUCUUGCCUUUUCUACUUACAUUCCAGGUAUAAUUACAGAUGGAAAUAUUCCAGAUUUGUCCCGUGUCCACUUUGUAGAAGCAGGAAAGAACAUCAACAUUUCAUGUAAUAGUAGUAAAAGUUCCAGUGAUGUACAGUGGUACAAAGAGAGAGAAGACGGGGGAUUACAGGCCAUGCCACCAAGGGGAUGUUACCUACCAAAAGAAAACAGUAGAUAUUAUUUCCACUGUGAAAAAAGUAUAUACUCAGCAUGGAGAUUAGAAAUGUCCUUCCAUCUGACUCUGGGGUGUUUUACUGUUCUCUAUCAGGACUGGACCUAACCUUCCAUGUAGCCGGCACAUUAAUUGUUACAGGCACCAAAGCACCAACCACUGCUCAACUUUUUAUUGGAAGAGGCGGCCAAGCAUAUGCAGCCAAUCGGUACAUCUCCUUCCUCCGUGAAUGUCUAAUGGGUAGGGAAAUAAAAAUAAGUUACACCUCCACGGAUCCUCGCCUCAGGUCACCACUGAGGCUGGUGAUCAGCUGAGAGGGCAUUUCCUAUGUGUCGAGAGGCACCAGGAAGCAGAGAAAAAAGGAGACUCUGUGAGCAUUGGAACUGGAGCAUCGGGGGAUAUGGAGAGGAGAGUAUGGCCUAUGUUUUUUUUUUUAUGGUACUCUAAGCAUUUAAACAAAUGACCAGAUUACCCCUUUUUCCUUGUUGCAGUGGGGCAAUGAGCUGAUUUUGCCAGGCUUAAGGAUUUGAAGAUCUGUAUCAGUUUCAAUCAUUAAUCGAUAAAUUAAAAACAAAAAUAUACCAGCAUAGUAUUUAGGGGCGGGUUUUAACUUUAUGGAUUUCCCCAUUGGCGAUUUUGAAGUGGGGAGGGGAACAAUAGGAUUACUAAUGGAUAUAAUUAUAUUUAUGUGGUCUACUGUUUUCUUUGUAUUUUAAUAGGGCGGAGGCAUUGUUUAGGUUCUUAAAGGGGCUGUCUGGCCAAUAGUUUUUUUUCUUAAGACUCAAAAUUGUAUAAAAUAAAAUGUCAUGUUUCCCUCACAAAACUGCACUGAUCUUGUUCCAAUGCUUAAUGGUACCCCUUAACCUCUACAAGAGAUCAGCAAAUUUAAAAAAAUUGAUUUUGGGACAGCCAUUUCGGUCCAAGUCUGAAUGAAUUUGAUCAGAAUCAAGAGAGUCCUAAUUGCCUGGAAAAGUCUGUCUCUCCAUAAUUCUUCCAUGUUGAAUUGCUAAAAUUUUAGUUAUUUGCU